AGUAGAGAGCAGAGCUUGGAAUCUUUUCUGGCUAAAGGCAGGCUGAGGGGGACGCGGGCUUCCUGGAAGUUCCCCGACUUUGCUGAUGGGACUGUCCCCUGCUUGCUGCACAGCCACGGCGGGGCGGGAGCGGGGGCGGGGGCGGGGGGCAGGGGUGCGGCGGGCAGGGAGGUCCCCGCUAUUGUGGAGGGAGGAGAGUGACUGAUCGCAAGGCUCUGUGCUGGAUGCGGCAUCAUCCCCCAUGCAGGGUGGCCCUGGCUUCUACCGAAGGUGGCUGCUGAGAGCGCCCUGCAGGAAGGCCCCAGGGGCACCAGAGUCCCAGAGCAGCACCUCACUUCUCGGGAAUACCCCUUCCAGAAACCCUGAGGCCAGCCCAGCACUCCCACCUGCUGGCCCAGCAGCUCUCAGCGGCUUUCCUCCCUUGGGACAGAGACUGCUUACACUGCCGGGCUCAAAAACCUGCCCCGUGCCCCGGCCAGCCUCAUCCCCAGAUGUCACCCUGUGAUGACCUGGACUGCCCUCUCUGCAGUGGAAUCUUCACUAGGACCCUCUGUCUCAGCGUUUCCUAAUGAGCUCUUGCCCAGUCUUGCAUCCUCCCCGCGCAGCCUCAGAGGGGCGGAUCUUCCAGCAGAGCCAGCGGCUCCUGAGCUCAGCAGCCCCACCUGGGGUCCCUCCUCACUGGGAGGAAAGACCAUGGUUGUGUGAAUGGCCCCGCCGCCGCUCAGCCUUCAGCUCCUGUUCUCCAGCCUGGCUCCCAGAGGUCCAGGUCCACAGGCCUCCUGCACCCCCCUCCUCCCAUGGGGGCUGAAAGCACUUCCUGUUUUCAGAACUAGCCCUGGGUUCGUAAAACGUUUUCUGAUGUGAAAUCCUUGAAACCAGAAGGGCUAGGCAGCAAUUUUAUGGGAUCACUGAGAGAUGAGUCCAUCUAAAGUUGGCACAAACAGCUCCUAGCCCUACGGAGACUUUCUCAGGGGGUACAGGAGGGCUUGGCCAGGACCCAGCAGCUCGGUGGGCCUGGUGGCACCCACCCUAGCAAGUGAGAUCUCAGGUGGCCUCACUCCACCCAUCUGUCUGGGAGGGAGCCUGGGACUCUGAACCCCUAGCCACAAUAUCCUUCAAAGGCUGAGAGCUGGAGCCAGCUGCCCUUGGUGACGAAGUCAGGGGUCCAGGAACAAAACCGAGUGCUGAUGGGAGGUGAUAACUCAGCCUCAACUUCUUCCUCUCCAUGGGAAGAAAGAACAAGGGAAAGGAGGGUUCCUUUUGUGAAGCCCAAUAUUCUUCAUUUCAUGUUCCUUUUAAAACAUAUUUAAAACUGUCGCCACCCUCACCCUCACCCUCAUUUUCAUGAAGGGCAGGUCUUGCUAAGCGUAUCAUGAGCUGAUUAAGUUUGAGAGGACAGGAGCUGGGCACAGAUUGCUCUGCAAAAUAAAGGGGUGAAAAGUUGCAGGGGUGAACAUGUGUGAAGGUCGGAGGCAGGAGUGAGCCGUGGGGUGACAUGUAGGGGAUGAGAAUUCCCUCAGUCCCCCUCCCCAUUGCAGUUUAGGGAGGAUUUUCUGACACGGGCCUGUUGAGUAAGGAAUGUAGGUUUCGGGUUGUCUGGUGUGUGCCUGGUGAACCAUCUGUCUCCCCUGCACAAUCUUCAGAAAUGGCUACAGUGUGUCUGUGUGAGUGGACUGUCUCGGGAGCCUGUCGGCUGGCUGGGUGCCCCUGCAGGCUCACGGAGACGACACGGAAGAGCCGGGUGACACAUGGACAGGUGGGACUUGGGCUAUGCACAGAGGCAGGAGGGAAUGAAAGUGGGGGGCUUAAGAGGCUUAGGGGUGCAGGCCUCUGCUUUCAGGAGCCGCUGCACUGUGGGUUCCUCUCCAGGGCUUGGUCCCCACGUGGGAGCUUCCGCAGCCCAGUAUAAAUGCAGAGCAUGGGAGCUGUGGACCUUGACUUGAAGAGAAAGUGCAGGUCUUGAGAGAGGGGAACUGAAAAACCAAGAAGACAGCUGGUGAGAGAAGAGGAGAAAAGAGAAGACAAGGUGGCUGUCAGGGUGCAGCAGACAGCCAAGUUAAGAGUUAAGACAAAGAUGAGGAACAGGGUGAGGUCAGAAUCCAGGAGGGAGCUACUGAGGGCCAGGUCGGGGGUGACGGAUCCAAGGAAGGACAGCAAGGCCUUGAUAAGAUGCAGUGGACCCAGAGGAGAGGUGAGGCCAGCUGGCUCUGUACUGCUGAGCCGCAGGAUUUGGAGUUGCUGUCAACUUCGAGGCUGCUGUUAAACCAGGGGGCUGCCAAAUAUUUUCAAGCGGUGACCAGGCCAGGAGUCUGAAGACUAAGAAGCAUGCAUUCUGGAUGAAUUGAAAAUCGAUGAGAUAUAGAGGCUCAGAGAAGGAAUAUUAACCCAGCACCAAAGUCUCCUAGCUCUUCUGGGGCCAGGCCCGGGAAAGAGGUGAGAAUGGACAGUUGGCAGUGACUGCUGGCCCCAGUGACUCUUAUUUUCUUAGCCCCGAAUCACAUGUGUCAUCUGACCCACCGUUCCAGCACGUGUGGAACAUCCUGGACUCUUGGAUCUACUGCUGCAUCUUCUAGAGAGUGAGGUGUUCAGUUGCCCUCCUGAGAGCAGCGCCUCCCUCCCCACCCCGCUCAGCAGCCUGGCAUGAAGGCAGGGAAUGUGUACUGUACCCCCGGUGCCAGACGUGGGAGGCACCCAGAGUUGUGGAAUGAAUGAAUACAUUCACAGGCCCACAGGAGGAGUUCAAGAGCUCAAGUUGAGUUGAACAAGGACAUAACAUAAGCCCCCUGAACUGCUGCUAAUUCUCCCAGCAGAAGGAGAUGACUGUCGGAAACUAGGAGGUGCUUGGUGAUAAUGGAAUAAAGGUUUUCUCUCUGCAGGGCUGUCUGGACCACACAGGGGUCACACUUCGAUCUGAUCAUAACAUAGCUCCACCUGGACAAGCUGUUUCUCCCAACCCUCUUUCCAGCUUGAAUCACAUCAUUCCCUUUAAGAAUUUCCAUUCAUUUUAGUUUCCUGCUAAUUGACAUCUUCACUACAUAAAAUACUGGUAUAAAAAUACUGCGUACCAAGAUUUGAUACAACUAGCAAAUGUUCAUUGGUUUACAACAAACC
rnacentral:lncRNA from 1 species